UUUGUGCUUUGCACAAAGCAAUUCAACAGCUAUCGGAGAGUAAUUGUACUUGUGUAAACCGAGCAAGCUACGCGUCGCUGUGCAUCCCUGCAACGGAGGAAAUGCAAACAGAAACCAAGCGAAACGGCGGGUUGGUGGAACCGGCGCGCACGGGGGUGUGUUGUUCUCGCUCCCUUCCGGCAUCCGGAUACAUUCUUGCAUCACCCAUUCCGUUCCGUUCCACUGCUGGCGGGCAAAAUAUUUGUAAACAUUAUUUGGCAACUGGCAACAACAGCAACAACAACAACCAACGCGAGAAGCACACUGUGGCCGGUCCCGGGGUCGGCCUAGCGAUAAACAUCUAUGAAACGUUCUCAUAAAUUCUGAUGACGACUGAAGGUGGGAAACUGUGGCGUGUGAGGUGGCGGCACGUACACUGUGGUCUUAUUUUUAUGUUUUUUUCCCCGGUAUUUGCGACGUUGAAUUCCGACGGUUUUUUGGAAGUGAUUUGAAAAACACUCCCCUGCUCCCCUGGCAAGGCACGAGCGAAAAGGAAGCACCAAGCACGGGAAUGCGAAUACUACGCUCUUCGCAAAUGAAAAAUAAUACAUUCUGGACAUUCCGCUGAAAUUGUGUUGUUUUGCCGAAAGUAUGUGCAAUACGAGCUGGCAAUCAAUCAAUCAUCCUGGAAGUGCUACUGCGUUCACCACCAAUGCGCGGGAAAAAUGGAAAUUGAAUUGAAAUUUAAUGUGAUUGAGACCUGCGCGAGCAUAAAUUGCGCUUAGGUACGGUUGAAUACUCUCCUAAUGGAUACUUGUAGUUGAUUACGCUGCUCUUAGGAACAAUCCCCUACAAAUUGAUGUUGGUCACGGAUGCAGCAUAAAUUGCCCUAGCGAAUCACCUGACUGAGAAGGAAGGAAAACAAAAACGGGAAAACGAAAAAAGGGGGGGGAUGGUAUCGAUCUUAUCAUUCCUACCCAGAUCCAGCGAAUCGUUCGUUUCCGUAUCAGUUGUCGUCGUGACGUUGGUGACGUGCGUCGAUGCGGAAUCGGUCGAGGUGUUGAUGGUGGCUUCGGACGUCGUGGAUGACCCCAUCACGACCACCUUCGGCACGGUGGACGAGCUGGCGGCCGCUGCUGCGACGGCCGUUGCCGUGGUUGCCGCUGUGGCCGCCAUUUUGGCCGCCUUGCUGGCGCGAGCCGUUUUGAAGUAGAGCCUCCGCAGGGCCGACGUCGGGGUGGAAUGGUUGCCGUGCGUUGUUGUAUCGGGCUCGGGAUUGUCGCGGGACACGCUCGCCCGUCCAUGCCCCGGACUGGUCGGGCGAGCGUUAGAGGAGGAGGAGGACGACGAGGAAGCCGACAUCGUAGCGGAGGACAGCGCCAUCGAGGGGCUGGCAACAGCGUCAAUGACGGUGGUCGGGGACGCCGACGACGAUGACGGGGAGGUGGUGGAGGAACGGGGCGUGGCAGAAGCGACGAUGUACGUGGCCGCCAGGGGACCGCAGUGGACGCUUUCGAUCGGCUGCUGCGGCUGGGAAACCGACACUGUCAUGGCAUCGGGGGGCACUGUGAAGUAGAAGAGUGAAAAUGAAAGGCUAACUUUGCACCGUACGUGAGAGUGAUCGGCGCCGUUGCCAGCUGUUACACUAUUGAACCUUUACCGAGAGACGUCAAUCGAUGCCGAGAAGUGCAGCGUGUUCAAUGAAAGGUGUUUAAAAGCGAUUCCAAACUACCGAUUAGAGGGCCGAAACUUUCCACAGACUAGCAACACACGUACUGAAAGGCAUCCCGCCGAACCACGCCACCACCACCUGCGAGUAGCACCUCGAAAUAGCAAGCAUUUUGACGAAAUUCAUCCACUUUCAAUGGAAACGGGGAAAGUUAUUACAAAGUUUGAUUUUCAUCUGUAAAAAGUUACUACGACGGCAUGGUGAUGGUGCUGGUGGUGGGCUCUGUGGUGAUUGCUUGUUUGCAGAAGAUGAGGAACAUUGACGUUACCGCAACAAAUCCGUUCUCGGGGCUGUAGUAGCACAAAAGACUAACAUUGUGGCAAGUUGUUACAAAGGGGGUGGGGGGUGCUUUUCCCGGGCCAAUGUUUGAACACUUUUGUUUUCUUACAUUAUUUCGUUUCGUUCGUGCCCGUGUGCUUGCUACUUUGCGCUCCUUCGUGUGCAUUCACCUAGAACCUCUCAAGCAACAAUCAAUCUUAAGUGCGGGGAUACGAACGAACUUACAAGAAGUACACAUUCUGCCCCGGACAAAGUUCGUUUCCCUUGAGGGUGGUGAAAAAAAGAUCUGUUAGUAACCAGAAAAAAACCCCUGGUCCCAUGCCGUCGCGUGGCCUUCCGCUUCAUUGGCAAGUAACUUACCUUUAU